rnacentral:rRNA from 1 species
CUAGUAGUAUAGGAUAGCCACUAGAAAUGGUGGGUAAUACUGUAUAAUCCCUGCGGGGGAAAGAUUUAUCGCUACAUGAUGAGCCUAUGUUAGAUUAGCUAGUCGGUAGGGUAAAGGCCUACCAAGGCGAUGAUCUAUAGCUGGUCUGAGAGGAUGAUCAGCCACACUGGAACUGAGAUACGGUCCAGACUCCUACGGGAGGCAGCAGUGGGGAAUAUUGGACAAUGGGCGCAAGCCUGAUCCAGCUAUGCCGCGUGAGUGAGGAAGGCCUUAGGGUUGUAAAACUCUUUCAGUAGGGAAGAUAAUGACGGUACCUAUA